AGAGUUUGAUCCUGGCUCAGAACGAACGCUGGCGGCGUGCCUAACACAUGCAAGUCGAACGUGAAAGUCCUUCGGGAUGAGUAAAGUGGCGCACGGGUGAGUAAUGCGUAGAUAAUCUGCCUGGUGAUCUGGGAUAACAUCUCGAAAGGGGUGCUAAUACCGGAUAAGCCCACGGAGUCUUCGGACUUUGCGGGAAAAGGGGGGGACCUUCGGGCCUUCUGUCACCAGAUGAGUCUACGUACCAUUAGCUAGUUGGUGGGGUAAGAGCCCACCAAGGCUACGAUGGUUAGCUGGUCUGAGAGGAUGAUCAGCCACACUGGAACUGAGACACGGUCCAGACUCCUACGGGAGGCAGCAGUGGGGAAUUUUGCGCAAUGGGGGAAACCCU
rnacentral:rRNA from 1 species